GAUGAACGCUGGCGGCGUGCUUAACACAUGCAAGUCGAACGAUGAAGCCCAGCUUGCUGGGUGGAUUAGUGGCGAACGGGUGAGUAACACGUGAGUAACCUGCCCUUAACUCUGGGAUAAGCCUGGGAAACUGGGUCUAAUACCGGAUAGGAGCGUCCACCGCAUGGUGGGUGUUGGAAAGAUUUAUCGGUUUUGGAUGGACUCGCGGCCUAUCAGCUUGUUGGUGAGGUAAUGGCUCACCAAGGCGACGACGGGUAGCCGGCCUGAGAGGGUGACCGGCCACACUGGGACUGAGACACGGCCCAGACUCCUACGGGAGGCAGCAGUGGGGAAUAUUGCACAAUGGGCGAAAGCCUGAUGCAGCGACGCCGCGUGAGGGAUGGCGGCCUUCGGGUUGUAAACCUCUUUCAGUAGGGAAGAAGCGAAAGUGACGGUACCUGCAGAAGAAGCACCGGCUAACUACGUG
rnacentral:rRNA from 1 species